rnacentral:tRNA from 1 species
GGAGAGGUACUCAAGUGGUUUAAGAGACUUGUCUUGAAAACAAGCGUGUCAGCAAUGGCACCGCGAGUUCGAAUCUCGCCCUCUCCGCCA